rnacentral:rRNA from 1 species
CCUACGCGCGGCAGCAGUGAGGAAUAUUGGUCAAUGGCCGGAAGGCUGAACCAGCCAUGCCGCGUGAAGGUCAGUGCCCUAUGGGCGUUACACUUCUUUUGUGCGGGAGCAAUAAUGGUCACGUGUGGCCAGACGAGAGUACCGUACGAAUACGCAUCGGCUAACUCCGUGCCAGCAGCCGCGGUAACACGGGGGAUGCGAGCGUUAUCGGGAUUUAUUGGGUUUAAAGGGUGCGUAGGCGGUAGUUUAAGUUAGUGGUAAAACGUCGGGGCUUCACCUUGAUUGGCGAUUAAAACUGGAGUACUAGAGGACAGACGAGGUAGGUGGAAUAAGUUAAGUAGCGGUGAAAUGCUUAGAUAUAAGGUAGAACCCCGAUAGCGAAGGCAGCUUACCAGACUGUUACUGACGCUGAAGCACGAGAGCGUGGGUAGCGAACAGGAUUAGAUACCCUUGGAGUC